CAUGCAAGCAUCCGCCGUCCAGUGAGUAUGCCCUUUCACUCGCUCAAUCCAAAGGAGCUGGUAUCAAGCACACAACAAUGUAGCUCAAAACGCUUACCCAGCCACGCCCCCACGGGAAACAGCAGUGAUUAACCUUUAGCAAUAAACGAAAGUUUAACUAAGCUAUACUAACCCCAGGGUUGGUCAAUUUCGUGCCAGCCACCGCGGUCACACGAUUAACCCAAAUAAAUGACUAACCGGCGUAAAGAGUGGUUUAGAUCACCCCCUCCCCAAUAAAGCUAAAACUCACCUGAGUUGUAAAAAACUCCAGUUGACACAAAAUAGACUACGAAAGUGGCUUUAACAUAUCUGAACACACAAUAGCUAAGACCCAAACUGGGAUUAGAUACCCCACUAUGCUUAGCCCUAAACCUCAACAGUUAAAUCAACAAAACUGCUCGCCAGAACACUACGAGCCACAGCUUAAAACUCAAAGGACCUGGCGGUGCUUCAUAUCCCUCUAGAGGAGCCUGUUCUGUAAUCGAUAAACCCCGAUCAACCUCACCACCUCUUGCUAAAUCAGUCUAUAUACCGCCAUCUUCAGCAAACCCUUAAAAGGAACAAUAGUAAGCUUAAACGCACUCGCAAAAACGUUAGGUCAAGGUGUAACCAAUGUGAUGGGGCAUAAUGGGCUACAUUUUCUACAUAAGAACAAUUACGGACUCGCGCAUGAAACUGCUAGACAAAGGAGGAUUUAGAAGUAAGUUAAGAAUAAAGAGCUUGACUGAAUCUGGCCAUGAAGCACGCACACACCGCCCGUCACCCUCCUCAAGAGGAGACAAGUCGUAACAAGGUAAGCAUACUGGAAAGUGUGCUUGGAAUACAAAGUGUAGCUUAAUAAAGCCCUGGCCUACCCCAGAGAUCAGCCCUUUGAACAGCCUAGCCCCAAAYRAAWCAUYYAGUAUAGGMGAUAGAAAAGAGCAUAGAAGUACCGUAAGGGAAAGAUGAAAGAYUAAGUGUAUAGCAGAGAUUACACCUCCUACCUUUUGCAUAAUGGACUAGCUAGAAAAUUCUUUGACAAAGAGACCUGAAGRCAAAAUCCCCGAAACCAGACGAGCUACUUAUGAACAAUUGUCAGAAUGAACUCAUCUAUGUGGCAAAAUAGUGAGAUGAUUUGUAAGUAGAGGUGAAAAGCCAAACGAGCCUGGAGAUAGCUGGUUGUCCAAAAAAAGAAUAUUAGUUCAUCCUAAAGCCCUGCCUGCAAAAACACUAAUUAUAAUGUARACUUUAGUGAUAGUCAAUAGAGGGACAGCUCUAUUGAAAAAGGAUACAACCUACUAAGGAGAGUAAGAACUACAAAUACACAUAGUUGGCCUAAAAGCAGCCAUCAAUUAAGAAAGCGUUAAAGCUCAAAAUCCCUCCCUUAUUGGAYUACUCUAUUUAAUAGAGAAAUAMUGYUARYAURAGUAACAAGAAUUCUCCGGCRYRGYUUAUAUCAGAACGRAUYYCACUGAUAGUUAACGACCUAGYAAAACMCMAUAAAUUAUUACAYYUUUAACCCACACAGGRYGCCGGAAAGAUUAAAAGAAGAAGAAGGAACUCGGCAARCACGAACYCCGCCUGUUUACCAAAAACAUCACCUCUAGCAUUACAGUAUUAGAGGCACUGCCUGCCCAGUGACACAUAGUUAAACGGCCGCGGUACUCUGACCGUGCAAAGGUAGCAUAAUCAYUUGUUCUUUAAUUAAGGACUUGUAUGAAUGGCUACACGAGAGUUCAACUGUCUCCUACCUCUAAUCAGUGAAAUUGACCCCUCCGUGAAGAGGCGGAAUAWAAAUAUAAGACGAGAAGACCCUAUGGAGCUUUAAU
rnacentral:ncRNA from 1 species